UUUUCAAUGACCUUAUAUUAAAUAUAGCCUGCUCAAUGAAAUAAAUAGCCGCAGAAAAUUUACUGUGCUAAGGUAGCAUAAUCACUUGCCUUCUAACUGAAGACUAGAAUGAACGGCCCAACAAUUAAACAAUUUUUUUAAUACUUAAAAAUAUAAAUUUUAUUAAGCAUAAAAAUAUACUUAUUCGCAUAAAAGACGACAAGACCCCGUCGAACUUAACUGAAGUUAAGCUGGGGAAGCUCAUUAAUUAUUAUUGUAAACCUCAUUAUUAAAUGAAUACCCAUUAAAAAUGAAUUAUAAUCAAGUUACCGCGGGGAUAACAGCGUAAUAAUUCUCUAAAGCUCUAAUUUAAAGAAAAGAUUACGACCUCGAUGUUGAAUUAAUUUAUCUCACUAGCGCAAAAGCUAAAACUAGUAAGUCUGUUCGACUUUUUAAAAAUUACA
rnacentral:rRNA from 1 species